CAUACUUGACAAUUUGACCUCAAAUCAGGUAGGACUACCCGCUGAACUUAAGCAUAUCA
rnacentral:rRNA from 1 species